UACAAGAUUGGAUUUUUGCUUUCACAUACGGAGGAAGCGCAUUUUAUCAGAAAAUCUUAAAUUAGAAGUUGGUCUAUAGCGUAUAUUGCUUAUGCCUCUCCAUUUAUUUCCACUGAUGAGCAGGUAACUGUAUAUGUUGGCAAACAUUCUAAUUACUGUAAUGAACGCUUAUGUGAAACAAACAUAAAUGAGGUAUAUGCAUAGGCAUUUAAAUGCAAUACAAAACCGCCCUCCCUCCUUUACAAUCCAAAAUCCUUCUCCACUACGUUGGAGGCAAAUAACCUUUUUUUCAAAAUCUGAAAUGAGAAAGAAUGAAGCCCAACAUCUCUACAAAGCGCGGGAAGAGCUACUAUGCAUUUAGUAUUUAGAAGGAGCCAUACAAGGAAUUCUCUCAAAUUGCCUUUGGUAUUUCCACAUUUUGCAGCGCGUUUUGCAUUUGAUUGCUGCAUUCAGAGAAUGGCAAAGCCGAAGAAGAGUAAUAGACAGCAAAAUGCGGCCUCAGAGGAGGAAGGAAGUGGCUCACACCCUAAAAACGUCACCCCUGAUACUACACAAGGCAGCCUUUAUCAGGUGCUUGGAGCGGAGCGGAUUGCAUCUCAACAGGAAAUUAAAAAGGCCUACCACAGGUUGGCAUUACAGCUGCAUCCUGACAAAAAUCAAAAUGACGAGGUAUGUGCUGGUUUUUCCUUUUAUACAUGGAAGGAGACUUUGUGGAAGUAUUGAAUUUGCAGUUAUAGGAGAUGCUUUGGCAUUACUGAUAUAUGUUUGCUUGAUUUUUGUUGCUCUUAAAUUUGGAAUUGUACAAUGCCAAUGAAAAGUUCCAGAAAUUGCAAAAAGUAAUGUCAAUACUUGGAGAUCCAGAGAAGAGAAAACUUUAUGAUGAGACUAGUUGUGUUGAUGACCAGGACCUUGCUGGGGAUGCAGUUCAGAAUCUAUGUGAUUUUCUCAGGACGUUGUAUAAAGAGGUGACUAAUGCUAGUUGUAUGUUGAUUUAUGCGGUUUAGAAUUUAGAUGGCGGCCACAUUUAAAUUAUAGAGAAUGGUUAUGGUUGUAGCCAUGGUUAACAGAUUUGAGAAAUUGUAUUUGUUU